UUUUUAUUUUGAAAGCAUAGCCGUUCCUUGGCGUUGGCUUAGUUCACCCUCACGUGGUGGUUUGGCGUAAAGUGAACUCUAAAGUUUUAACCUCAGGAGUUAUCCAGCCGCGCCUCUAAUAUUGAGGUAUGAAUAUAAUAGGGUUACCGUGGCCCUCUAAUAGGCUGGUCCACGAAACCCGUCCACUGCAGCGACCAAUAUAUAACCCACCAAUUCAAUAAAAUUCAACAGCAUGACUUGGCAAUUAUUUUAUUUUACAACCUCUCAAGGCAAAUUAACAGUUCAUACAUUUUUAACAUAAAUACCAAUUCAAUCAUUCAUGCCAAUAUUAUCAUAAGCCAUUCAAUUCAAACCAUGAUUUAUAACACAACAAUUAGUCUCCAAUUACUCCAUUUUCAAAACCAUCUUUCAAUUUCAACACAAUUUUAUAAAAUCAUUUUCAUUUAAUCACAUUUUGCUUAUAAAAUAUAAAAAUUUACCAUUUAAACUCAUUUUCCAUAAAAUCACAAAAUCGGAUAAAAACCACUUUAGAUAAUUAAGACGAUAGUAAGGUUACUCACUAUUUCGGGAGUCGAAUUUCGAGUACUCCGAUUCUUGAUCCUCGGGUACUAUCUCUUUACUUUUGCCAGAAUGCUCACCAC
rnacentral:lncRNA from 1 species